GUACACGCUGUACUAGCAUAUCAAUAAGCGGAGGAAAAGAAACUAACAAGGAUUCCCUCAGUAACGGCGAGUGAAGCGGGAAGAGCUCAAAUUUGAAAUCUUGAAAGGUCACCUUUCACGAAUUGUAGUUUAAAGAAGUGUUUUCUGUUACGAUCGUAAUAUAAGUUCUUUGGAAUAGGACAUCACAGAGGGUGAGAAUCCCGUCUAUGAUUGCGAUUUGUAGCUUUGUGAUACACUUUCAAAGAGUCGGGUUGUUUGGGAAUGCAGCCCAAAACGGGAGGUAAAUUUCUUCUAAGGCUAAAUAUUGGCGAGAGACCGAUAGCGAACAAGUACCGUGAGGGAAAGAUGAAAAGAACUUCGAAAAGAGAGUUAAAUAGUACGUGAAAUUGUCAAAAGGGAAGCGUUUAACACCAGUGUUGUUUUCUGAAAAUCAACCUCUGUUAGCUUUAUGCAUGUUUGUUUAGACCUAAUCAGCUAUCUUGCAUGUUCUAUUGUUUGCAGUGGUGCACUUUUCAGUUUACAGGUCAACAUCAGUUUUUUUUACCGUAAAAAAGUUAAAGAAAGGUAGCUCAUGGCUCCGGUCGUGAGUGUUAUAGUCUUUUUCCUAUGCGGUAGGAGAGACUGAGGUCUGCAGUGUAGGCUAUUUGGCUAGAUACUCAGGUGCUAUGUGAUACCAUUUCAUAAACAACUUGUUGAUUAUGUUUUGUCUAUUGCAUACUCGCUUGUACUAUCAUACCUACGCUUAGGAUGUUGAACUACUGAGACAUAGA
rnacentral:rRNA from 1 species